AGCGAACGCUGGCGGCAGGCCUAACACAUGCAAGUCGAACGCCCCGCAAGGGGAGUGGCAGACGGGUGAGUAACGCGUGGGAAUCUACCCAGUUCUACGGAACAACUGAGGGAAACUUCAGCUAAUACCGUAUACGCCCUACGGGGGAAAGAUUUAUCGGAAUUGGAUGAGCCCGCGUUGGAUUAGCUAGUUGGUGAGGUAACGGCUCACCAAGGCGACGAUCCAUAGCUGGUCUGAGGGGAUGAUCGGCCACACUGGGACUGAGACACGGCCCAGACUCCUACGGGAGGCAGCAGUGGGGAAUAUUGGACAAUGGGCGCAAGCCUGAUCCAGCCAUGCCGCGUGAGUGAUGAAGGCCUUAGGGUUGUAAAGCUCUUUCAGUGGGGACGAUAAUGACGGUACCCACAGAAGAAGCCCCGGCUAACUUCGUGCCAGCAGCCGCAGUAACAC
rnacentral:rRNA from 1 species